CACGGUUCAGCUGCAUCAGG
rnacentral:miRNA from 1 species